GCUCGGAUAGUUUAGUGGUCAUAACGCUGCCUUCACACGGCAGAGGUCCCCAGUUCGAUCCUGGGUCCGAGUA